rnacentral:rRNA from 1 species
UACGGGGGGGGCAAGCGUUGUUCGGAAUUACUGGGCGUAAAGGGCUCGUAGGCGGCCAACUAAGUCAGACGUGAAAUCCCUCGGCUUAACCGGGGAACUGCGUCUGAUACUGGAUGGCUUGAGUUUGGGAGAGGGAUGCGGAAUUCCAGGUGUAGCGGUGAAAUGCGUAGAUAUCUGGAGGAACACCGGUGGCGAAGGCGGCAUCCUGGACCGAUAUUGACGCUGAUGCGCGAAAGCCAGGGGAGCAAACGGG